GCCUGGAUGGCUCAGUUGGUUAGAGCGCAGGUCUCAUACGGAGAGUGUGACCAUCUUUGAUGGGUAAUCCUGAGGUCGUGAGUUCGAUCCUCACUCCGGGCA